rnacentral:rRNA from 1 species
UGGGGAAUCUUGCGCAAUGGGCGAAAGCCUGACGCAGCGACGCCGCGUGAGUGAUGAAGGCCUUCGGGUUGUAAAGCUCUGUGGGGAGAGAAGAAUUAGUGCAGCCUAAUACGUUGCAUGAUGACGGUAUCUCCUUAGCAAGCACCGGCUAACUCUGUGCCAGCAGCCGCGGUAAGACAGAGGGUGCAAACGUUGUUCGGAAUUACUGGGCGUAAAGCGAGUGUAGGCGGUCCUAUAAGUCGGGUGUGAAAGCCCCGGGCUCAACCCGGGAAGUGCACUCGAAACUGCAGGGCUAGAGUAUCGGAGAGGUUGGUGGAAUUCUCGGUGUAGAGGUGAAAUUCGUAGAUAUCGAGAGGAACACCGGUGGCGAAGGCGGCCGACUGGACGAAUACUGACGCUGAGACUCGAAAGCGUGGGGAGCAAA